GUAGGUGGCAAGCGUUGUCCGGAACUAUUGGGCGUAAAGCGCGCGCAGGCGGUCCUUUAAGUCUGAUGUGAAAGCCCACGGCUCAACCGUGGAGGGUCAUUGGAAACUGGGGGACUUGAGUACAGAAGAGGAAAGCGGAAUUCCAAGUGUAGCGGUGAAAUGCGUAGAGAUUUGGAGGAACACCAGUGGCGAAGGCGGCUUUCUGGUCUGUAACUGACGCUGAGGCGCGAAAGCGUGGGGAGCAAACAGGAUUAGAUACCCUGGUAGUCCACGCCGUAAACGAUGAGUGCUAAGUGUUAGGGGGUUUCCCGCCCCCCUUAGUGCUGCAGCUAACGCAUUAAGCACUCCGCCUGGGGGAGUACGGCCGCAAGGCUG
rnacentral:rRNA from 1 species